rnacentral:lncRNA from 1 species
UAAGAAAAGUGAUUGUGAAGUUGUGACGUACAUUGUUCUGUCUUGCAACAAUGCUAAUUUGCCACAAAGACUGCAAAGACUUGACUGUUAUACGACAUCACAUUGAUGAGAUUUGAGACUUUUCUUCAUCAUAAAGUCGUGCUAAUGAAGUAAUAAAACCUGACUUUGAAGCAAAAACAUUAUUGAAAAAUUUAGCUUAGUCUUCUGUAUUGGUUUCUAUCUUCUUGAAUAAAUAUACCUUAUAUGGGUAAUGAUCUGAGCAAAAACUUCGAAAGAUGAUCUUAGAUUUUUAUGGUCGAAGUAAGCAUAUACAUAGGAGAUACCACUUCAUUAGAGAACGUGUUGAGUACAGGCAAAUAGAAGUUGAACACGUUCCCAGGGAUUAGCAAAAGGCGGACAUUUUAAAAGCUCUUAAAGAAUCAAGUUCAAGGAGAUGAGGAUUCU